rnacentral:lncRNA from 1 species
AUGAGCGGCUGCUCCAAAAGAUGCAAGCUUGGGUUCGUGAAAUUUGCCCAGACCAUCUUUAAGCUCAUCACCGGAACCCUCAGCAAAGGGUCCUGCAUUUCCGGGGCUUUGUUCAUCAUUCUGCUUUCUCGGACCCCUGUUCCUCUGCGGAUCUUGCCUGUGUCAAGGAGUGUGACAGACGUGACCAGCCGGAACCACCGUGAUGACAUGAUGGGUCAGCCCAGUCCACACCCAGGCUUGGUCCCACUUCCACUCCAGUUUUCCUGUGCUCUGCGAGAUCGGCCCCUCGACGGCAGGCCCGCACCGCCUGUCCACCGCGGCUGGCCAGCGCCCCUCGGUGUCCAUCUGCGCCCCAACAAGGAGGGCAGGAGGGAGGGCCGAGGCUCUGAGGACCCCACAGAAAGGCAGAGGGCUGGAGAAAGAGAGGAAGCAGGAGAUGAGAUAGCCUCGCCGGGGCCAGCAGGGAGGGAAGGAGGCCAGGACCCCAGGAAAAGACGUGAAUGGAAGGCGUUUACCAUCACCAGCGACCACCCUCCCUGCAUGCCUCACAGAUCCUCCGUCUGGAGGCAGAAGAAAGCCUUCCUCCUGAUGAGGUGA